GAUGAACGCUGGCGGCGUGCUUAACACAUGCAAGUCGAACGGUGAAGCAGAGCUUGUUCUGUGGAUCAGUGGCGAACGGGUGAGUAACACGUGAGCAACCUGCCCUGGACUCUGGGAUAAGCGCUGGAAACGGCGUCUAAUACUGGAUACGAGACGUGGCCGCAUGGUCAACGUUUGGAAAGAUUUUUUGGUUCAGGAUGGGCUCGCGGCCUAUCAGCUUGUUGGUGAGGUAAUGGCUCACCAAGGCGUCGACGGGUAGCCGGCCUGAGAGGGUGACCGGCCACACUGGGACUGAGACACGGCCCAGACUCCUACGGGAGGCAGCAGUGGGGAAUAUUGCACAAUGGGCGAAAGCCUGAUGCAGCAACGCCGCGUGAGGGAUGACGGCCUUCGGGUUGUAAACCUCUUUUAGCAAGGAAGAAGCGAAAGUGACGGUACUUGCAGAAAAAGCGCCGGCUAACUACGUGCCAGCAGCCGCGGUAACAC
rnacentral:rRNA from 1 species